rnacentral:rRNA from 1 species
AGUGAACGCUGGCGGUAGGCCUAACACAUGCAAGUCGAACGGCAGCACAGUAAGAGCUUGCUCUUACGGGUGGCGAGUGGCGGACGGGUGAGGAAUACAUCGGAAUCUACUUUUUCGUGGGGGAUAACGUAGGGAAACUUACGCUAAUACCGCAUACGACCUACGGGUGAAAGCAGGGGAUCUUCGGACCUUGCGCGAUUGAAUGAGCCGAGGUCGGAUUAGCUAGUUGGCGGGGUAAAGGCCCACCAAGGCGACGAUCCGUAGCUGGUCUGAGAGGAUGAUCAUCCACACUGGAACUGAGACACGGUCCAGACUCCUACGAGAGGCCGCAGUGGGGAAUAUUGGACAAUGGGCGCAAGCCUGAUCCAGCCAUCCCGCGUGGGUGAAGAAGGCCUUCGGGUUGUAAAGCCCUUUUGUUGGGAAAGAAAAGCAGCAGGUUAAUACCCCGCUGUUCUGACGGUACCCAAAGAAUAAGCACCGGCUAACUUCGUG